CAAUAGCGGAGGAAAAGAAACCAACAGGGAUUGCCUUAGUAGCGGCGAGUGAAGCGGCAAAAGCUCAAAUUUGAAAUCUGGCGCCUUCGGUGUCCGAGUUGUAAUUUGAAGAUUGUAACCUUGGGGUUGGCUCUUGUCUAUGUUUCUUGGAACAGGACGUCACAGAGGGUGAGAAUCCCGUGCGAUGAGAUGCCCAAUUCUAUGUAAGGUGCUUUCGAAGAGUCGAGUUGUUUGGGAAUGCAGCUCUAAGUGGGUGGUAAAUUCCAUCUAAAGCUAAAUAUUGGCGAGAGACCGAUAGCGAACAAGUACAGUGAUGGAAAGAUGAAAAGAACUUUGAAAAGAGAGUGAAAAAGUACGUGAAAUUGUUGAAAGGGAAGGGUUUGAGAUCAGACUCGAUAUUUUGUGAGCCUUGCCUUCGUGGCGGGGUGACCCGCAGCUUAUCGGGCCAGCAUCGGUUUGGGCGGUAGGAUAAUGGCGUAGGAAUGUGACUUUACUUCGGUGAAGUGUUAUAGCCUGCGUUGAUGCUGCCUGCCUAGACCGAGGACUGCGAUUUUAUCAAGGAUGCUGGCAUAAUGAUCCCAAACCGCCCGUCUUGAACAA
rnacentral:rRNA from 1 species